GACGAACGCUGGCGGCGUGCUUAACACAUGCAAGUCGAACGGAAAGGCCCUGCUUUUGUGGGGUGCUCGAGUGGCGAACGGGUGAGUAACACGUGAGUAACCUGCCCUUGACUUUGGGAUAACUUCAGGAAACUGGGGCUAAUACCGGAUAGGAGCUCCUGCUGCAUGGUGGGGGUUGGAAAGUUUCGGCGGUUGGGGAUGGACUCGCGGCUUAUCAGCUUGUUGGUGGGGUAGUGGCUUACCAAGGGUUUGACGGGUAGGCGGCCUGAGAGGGUGACCGGCCACAAUGGGACUGAGAUACGGCCCAGACUCCUACGGGAGGCAGCAGUGGGGAAUAUUGCACAAUGGGCGGGAGCCUGAUGCAGCAACGCCGCGUGCGGGAUGACGGCCUUCGAGUUGUAAACCGCUUUCGCCUGUGACGAAGCGUGAGUGACGGUAAUGGGUAAAGAAGCACCGGCUAACUACGUG
rnacentral:rRNA from 1 species